GUGGGGAAUAUUGCGCAAUGGGGGAAACCCUGACGCAGCGACGCCGCGUGAGCGAAGAAGGCCUUAGGGUUGUAAAGCUCUGUUUUAAGGGACGAAUGUCGUGGGGAGUAAUAUGCUCUGCGAAUGACGGUACCUUAAGAGGAAGCCCCGGCUAACUACGUGCCAGCAGCCGCGGUAAGACGUAGGGGGCGAGCGUUGUCCGGAAUUACUGGGCGUAAAGAGCACGUAGGCGGGAACUUAAGUCAGGUGUGAAAGACCGGGGCUCAACUCCGGGGUUGCACUUGAAACUGGGUUUCUUGAGGGCAGGAGAAGAAAGCAGAAUUCCUGGUGUAGCGGUGAAAUGCGUAGAAAUCAGGAGGAAUACCAGUGGCGAAGGCGGCUUUCUGGACUGACCCUGACGCUGAGGUGCGAAAGCGUGGGUAGCAAACAGGAUUAGAUACCCUGGUAGUCC
rnacentral:rRNA from 1 species